rnacentral:rRNA from 1 species
GACGAACGCUGGCGGCGUGCUUAACACAUGCAAGUCGAACGCGCUUUGCUCCUUCGGGAGCAAAGUGAGUGGCGAACGGGUGAGUAACACGUGAGCAACCUGCCCUUGACUCUGGAAUAACAGCUGGAAACAGCUGCUAAUACCGGAUACGACCUCCGAUGGCAUCAUCUGGAGGUGGAAAGCUCCGACGGUCAAGGAUGGGCUCGCGGCCUANCAGCUUGUUGGU